rnacentral:lncRNA from 1 species
AGUAUAUUAUGUAACAUAUAUAAAAUAUUUUAAAGAAAUUUAACAAUUAAUUUUUUUUAAUUCAUAUUCAGAUCAACACAGUUUUAGAUGUGUUACGUUUCAGACAUGUGAUACGAGCUACGUUUGAUAGUUUGGUUGUGCUAUGGACAACCUUUAGUUGUGGAGAAUUUAUGUGUCGCGAUCCUGAUUCUGUAAUGUGAUUGGCUGAGAGGCGGAAGGAGGCGGGGAUUAAGGCCAAAAGGCAAAGGCGCACAGGUACGAGGCGUUGGAGAGGUUUAGAAACCGUCAAUUAAGAAGAAGUGUGUAUUUUACCAUGUUUAUGGUGCUUUUAAUUACUGUUUUCUACCGACUAACACAGCAAUGCGGAAGAAAAUUAUCAAAAUGGAGAUCUCCGAGGGAGAACGUCUAGCUUCACCGCGACGGGCGGACGGCUCCUGGUUCAGUUCAGCAUCAUCACACAGAGUUUACCCCGUCCCUGCACGUGCCGCGUUGGACGCUGACCUUGACCUCUCCAAUGAGGAUGUUUCCUGCCAGUGGCUGCAUCAGGUGAUAAUAGCAGCUUGUCCACUACUGUCAACACUGUAUCCUAGCAACAGCCCAUCACACGGUGUGCUCGUGUCCCUGCCGUUUACUGAAGAUGGUGCGGGGUCUUUUAAGGGCCUCGGUUGCAGUGGACGAGUGGCUGGCUGCAGUUCAGACCGGGCAGCAGCUUCCUGUGUCGUACCACAGGAAUGCCCAGCAGAGACGCAACUCACCCCGUCUCCAUCUCUGCUUCAGUCACACAAGCUCCC